CCUACGGGUGGCAGCAGUGAGGAAUAUUGGUCAAUGGGCGGGAGCCUGAACCAGCCAAGCCGCGUGAGGGAAUAAGGUACAGCGUAUCGUAAACCUCUUUUGUCAGGGAACAAAGGCGGGGACUAGUCCCCGGAUGAAGGUACCUGAAGAAAAAGCACCGGCUAACUCCGUGCCAGCAGCCGCGGUAAUACGUAGGGAGCAAGCGUUGUCCGGAAUUACUGGGUGUAAAGGGAGCGUAGGCGGGAUGGCAAGUAGGGUGUUAAAUCUACCGGCUCAACUGGUAGUCGCACUUAAAACUGCUAUUCUUGAGUGAACUAGAGGCAGGCGGAAUUCCUGGUGUAGCGGUGAAAUGCGUAGAUAUUAGGCGGAACACCAGUGGCGAAGGCGGCCUGCUGGUCUUUUACUGACGCUGAGGCUCGAAAGUGUGGGUAGCGAACAGGAUUAGAUACCCGUGUAGUC
rnacentral:rRNA from 1 species